UAGGAAGACUCACAACCACCAGUCUCAAAAUAGCUGCGCUUCUGGCCGGCUUUGUUACGCUCACAGGAGAUGGCUUCACCUCUGCUCAGCAGAGCGGGGGUCCUGCCCAGGUCUCAGGGAAUUCCUCCACCUGCGGGAGGAACCGUCCUGAAUCGUCCAGCCAGGGGUGGGCUGCACUCCUGAGCGUGAGCAGUGAGCAGCGGUGGAAAUCGCCAGCCCCAGCCAGCUUCGCCUCCCAUCCAACUUCUCAGCCUGCCCAGGGGUGCUGGGGACGGCAGGUCCUGGGUGCAGCAAGGUGGCACAGAAGAGGGGCCUGUGCUCAGUGGCGCCCAUCACCCUACAUAUCCCCAGAUUCCCGCUGCUCCACUGGACCAGUUUUCUGGCUCUCCCCAUCUCCAGUUGGCUUGCCGUGAGUGCGAGGAGCCCAUCGAGGUGAAUCUCUGGGACUUCUGUCACCACUGUAAGGACACCAUCCUGCAGGACAGGGCUUCUCACUGGUGGGCCUCUGCUCCAGGACAAGCACUCCCAGGCAGAGAGAUGAGCCACAGAACAUCUCCGGAGGGAGAAACUCGCUCCCCUGUUUGCUGAAGCCGAUGCACACAGAUGGCUUUCACCCUCACGGCCCUUCCUUCACCCCGGGACCCUCCUCUCCUAUGACCCACUGAGGUGAACAUCUCUGUCUCCACCUGAAGCCUUUGCAUGAUAGAUCAGGGGUCUGCAAUUGAGCCCUCAUUUAAGUUUGGUUCACCUGCUCUGUGAUUAGAAGUGUUUUGGAGUGAGAGGAAGAUCCGACUUGAAAUCUUGCUAGGGACAUUCUUUUCGGAUGCUUAUGUAAUAAAUAGAUUUAAUGAUGAUGCUUCA